CUGUAGUGGUUAUAGGGCCAUGGGGGCUAUGGGGCUGGGAUGCUGCAGUGUCCCCAAAGCACCCCCCGGUGUGACACACGGAGCCCCACAGCCGCUCCUCCGCCCUUUAUUCACAUGGGGGGGGCAUCCCCCAACGCCCCGUUAUCACGAAAUAAACCUUAAUCCCAAAAAUAAAGGGUGCCCCCCACCCCCACCCCAUGGGAACAGUGCUGUCUGCAAUGGGGGGCGCACAGAAUGGGUCCCCAGAGGGGGGUCCCCAACUUUGGGAUGUGACGCCACGGUGGGGAUGUGGGGGCAGUCCCACCUCUGGGACGGACCACAAGUUUGGGCUGUGACACUGUGGGGGCGUCCCCAACUUUGGGGUCUGACACCAUCGGGGGGACACAGAGCUGUCCCAAAUUUGAGAUGUGACACUGUCGGGGCGUCCCCAGCUUUGGGGUGUGACACUGUGGAGUGUCCCCAGCUUUGGGGUCGGACACCAUUGGGGUGACACAGAGGUGUCCCCAACUUUGGGGUGUGACACUGUGGGGGUUUUUCCAACUUCGGGGUGUGAAACUACAGGGGUGCCCCCAACUUUGGGGUGUGACACUGUGGGGGCGCCCCAACUUUGGGGUGUGACACUGUGGGGGCAUCCCCACCUUUGGGGUGUGACACGGUGACGCGGUGCCCCCACUUCCCCUGGGAAGUCCUCAAGCUGCUCACGGUGUCCCCAACUUCGAC
ensembl:lncRNA